UUUAAUUUUGAGAAAGCUCACUUAUGAAUUGGAGGUUUAUUUUGAGAAAUCAGAUGAAGUGGAAAGUAUAUAAUUUAAUCCUUAAAAUUUAGGGUUUGGAAAUCAGAUGAAUUGGAAGUUCAAUUUGAGCUUGUAUAUCAUAUAUAAUUGUGAGCUGCUGUAUUUUUUAUUUUCUGUUAAAAGAUGAAACAUGUUCUUUGUGAAUAUGAAGUUUAAGUUGGUCAUUUUUUGUUGCAGUAAUUUUAAUCAAGUAUAUAUUAUGGUUAAUUGGUUAGCUUAUUUUUCAUUUAAUUAACAGUAUAACAAUUUUAUCUCAAAUUUUACAAAAGGAAAAAAGCUUUAUG
rnacentral:lncRNA from 1 species